rnacentral:lncRNA from 1 species
AUCUACUCAAAUACUCUGGAAGUCAGCUAGGUGUGGAUUAAAAAAAAUGUCUCAUUUGCGGUGAGUCAGGGAAUCUGCACAUCAUGUUUAUGGAGAAACAGGACACCUGAAAGGACAUGAGCACAUCGGAUUAACUUGAGUGCCUAAGUGUGCCACCACCCGUCCAGCACAUCCAAGUGGAAAAAAGGAG